AGUAGGUGGCACCCCUGAAGUCUAUUUCCACUUACCGUUUCUUCUUACUGGAAUCUUUGUCACAAAAGAUUGAGAAGUUAUCUAUACUAAUGAUGCAGCCAUACCGAAUGGAACAAUUCGCUGUGGCCAUCUGGAUGCUGCCACCUGGACAUAGGACACAAGCUGAAGGAGAGGUCCUUCUCAAGCCUGGGUGCAAUUGGCAGCUUGCCAGCACGGAUGCGGG